rnacentral:rRNA from 1 species
CGUGACGCCGGCGCCUACGGGCCAGAAGUGUGUGAUUUCGGUCUCCAAGAAAAGCUCAACGACGAAGAAGCCAGCCGCCCGUACCGCAAACCGACACAGGUAGGCGAGGUGAGUAUCCACAGGCGAACGAGAGAACCUUCGUUAAGGAACUAGGCAAAAUGGCUCCGUAACUUCGGGAGAAGGAGCGCCAGCGCGAGCUGGCCGCAGAGAAAUGGCCCUGGCGACUGUUUAACAAAAACACAGGUCUCUGCUAAUCCGAAAGGAGAAGUAUAGGGGCUGACGCCUGCCCAGUGCCGGAAGGUUAAGAGGAGUGGUCAGGUCAGCUACGGUUGACUGAAGCCAGGAAUUGAAGCCCCGGUGAACGGCGGCGGUAACUAUAACCGUCCUAAGGUAGCGAAAUUCCUUGUCGGGUAAGUUCCGACCCGCACGAAAGGCGUAACGAUCAGGGCACUGUCUCAACGAGGGACUCGGUGAAAUUGAAGGACGUGUAAAGAUGCGCGUUACCCGCAGCAGGACAAAAAGACCCCGUGGAGCUUUACUGUAGCUUGCUAUUGCGUUAGGGCAUGGUUUGUGUAGGAUAGCUGGGAGGCAAGGAAGCCUGGGCGUCAGCCUGGGUGGAGCCAAUGGUGAAAUACCAGCCUGACGAUGCUUUGACCCUAACCUGCGUCUCUGAAGCGAGCGUGGGAACAGUGGCAGGUGGGCAGUUUGACUGGGGCGGUCGCCUCCUAAAAGGUAGCGGAGGCGCCCAAAGGUUGGCUCAGGCGGAAUGGAAACCCGCCGUAGAGUGUAAUGGCACAAGCCAGCUUGACUGCGAGACAGACACGUCGAGCAGAGACGAAAGUCGGGCAUAGUGAUCCCACGGCGCUGAGUGGAAAGGCCGUGGCUUACCGGAUAAAAGCUACCCCGGGGAUAACAGGCUAGUCUGGUCCAAGAGUUCACAUCGACGACCAGGCUCGGCACCUCGAUGUCGGCUCAUCGCAUCCUGGGGCUGGAUCAGGUCCCAAGGGUUGGGCUGUUCGCCCAUUAAAGCGGUACGUGAGCUGGGUUCAGACCGUCGUGAGACAGGUCGGUCUCUAUCCGCUGUGGGCGUGAGAAGCUUGAAGGGAGCUGCCCCUAGUACGAGAGGACCGGGGUGGACGAAGCGCUGGUGUGCCGGUUGUCGUGCCAACGGCAUGGCCGGGUAGCCACCUUCGGCAGAGAGAACCGC